rnacentral:rRNA from 1 species
GAUGAACGCUGGCGGCGUGCCUAAUACAUGCAAGUCGAACGCAUCACUUCGGUGAUGAGUGGCGAACGGGUGAGUAAUACAUAAGUAACCUAGCCUCUGGAGGGGGAUAACUAUUGGAAACGAUAGCUAAGACCGCAUAGGCAUAGGCAUCGCAUGAUGAAUAUGUUAAAUAUCCCACGGGAUAGCGAGAGGAUGGACUUAUGGCGCAUUAGCUGGUUGGUGAGGUAGAGGCUCACCAAGGCGACGAUGCGUAGCCGACCUGAGAGGGUGGACGGCCACACUGGGACUGAGACACGGCCCAGACUCCUACGGGAGGCAGCAGUAGGGAAUUUUCGGCAAUGGGCGAAAGCCUGACCGAGCAACGCCGCGUGAGGGAGGAAGUACUUCGGUAUGUAAACCUCUGUUAUGAAGGAAGAACGGCAUAUGUAGGGAAUGACAUAUGAGUGACGGUACUUUAUGAGGAAGCCACGGCUAACUACGUGCCAGCCGCCGCGGUAACAC